ACCUCUGUCCCCACCUCUGUCACCCUUAUACCAUGGCCAGCCAAGCCCAGCCUGGCUCCUGCUGCUCCGCGUUAUUUCCAUCCCGCCCUAAUCGGAGGGGACAGAUGGUUUGUGCUGGAAGUUCCUCCGUGUGAGUGCUGAGCCUUGAACAUCUGCUGAGGAGG